UCCGAGUGGUGUGGAUGUUUAUUGGGCCUAAAGCAUCCGUAGCUGGCUAAGUUAGUCCCUUGUUAAAUCCACCGAAUUAAUCGUUGGAUUGCGGGGGAUACUGCUUGGCUAGGGGACGAGAGAGGCAGACGGUAUUUUCGGGGUAGGGGUGAAAUCCUAUAAUCCCGGGAAGACCACCAGUGGCGAAGGCUGUCUGCUAGAACGCGCCCGACGGUGAGGGAUGAAAGCUGGGGGAGCGAACCGGAUUAGAUACCCGGGUAGUCCCAGCUGUAAACGAUGCAGACUAGGUGUUUGGACGGCCACGUGCCGUUCUAGUGCCGCAGGGAAGCUGUUAAGUCUGCCGCCUGGGGAGUACGAUCGCAAGAUUGAAACUUAAAGGAAUUGGCGGGGGAGCACCACAAGGGGUGAAGCUUGCGGUUUAAUUGGAGUCAACGCCGGAAAUCUCACCGGGAGCGACAGCAGUAUGAAAGCCAGAUUGAGGGUCUUGCUAGACGUGCUGAGA
rnacentral:rRNA from 1 species